AUCCAUAUGACGAGCCCUAAACUGGACGAAACGCACGUCCUGGAC
rnacentral:hammerhead_ribozyme from 1 species